CCGAGUUUACAACUCCCAAACCCCUGUGAACAUACCACUCGUUGCCUCGGCGGAUCACCGCGCCCCGUGAAACGGGCCGGCCCGCCAGAGGACCUAAACUCAAUGUUUUAUUGUAUCUUCUGAGUAAAAACACAAAUAAAUCA
rnacentral:misc_RNA from 1 species